rnacentral:rRNA from 1 species
UACGUAGGGGGGCUAGCGUUGUCCGGAAUCAUUGGGCGUAAAGAGCGUGUAGGCGGCCCGGUAAGUCCGCUGUGAAAGUCGGGGGCUCAACCCUCGAAUGCCGGUGGAUACUGUCGGGCUAGAGUGCGGAAGAGGCGAGUGGAAUUCCCUGGUGUAGCGGUGAAAUGUGCAGAUAUCAGGAGGAACACCGAUUGCGAAGGCAGCUCGCUGGGACGUUACUGACGCUGAGACGCGAAAGCGUGGGGAGCAAACAGG